AUGGUUUAGUCAUUUAUCGACGUUCAACGUAUCAAGAUCGUAAUAAACAGGAUAAUAAGAAAUAACGACAUUAAGAAAUCAUCUUUUCCCAUUGGAUCUAUCGUUUAAUGAGAAAUAUUUCAUUGAUUUUUUCGCUGAUAUUAUCGGUGAUUAUGAUAGUGGUGAUUGGUGAUUGGUGAUGGUGAUUGAUGAUAGUGAUGGUGAUUAGUGAUGGUGAUGAUGGUGUCCUUCGAUGAUAUAAUAAAUGAAGGAAUAUCAUUCUUAGAUUAUUUUUAUAGAGGGAUGCCUCUUAACGAAGUCUUGUACGAGUACUUGCCACCCUUUCAACAGACAUCCUAUUCGCUAGUAUCGUCGUUGUCUACGUCAUCGUAGUCGUCAUCAUUGUCGUUGUCAUCGUCUUCGUCGUCGUUGUCGUCGUUGUCUUCGUAGGAGACACUCGUACGAGUACGCUUCAUCGUAACUCGAGAGCUUCCACGAUCGUGCGUAGCCCUUAAUUGGAGACGCACGAAGGACUCCUGGCGUUCCUAGGGAGUUUCCCAGAAUACGAAGGAGAAGAACGGGAAUGAUGAAGAGGAGAAAUGGCGCCGAUGGUAGACACGUCCCAAGAGAAGAAUCGAAUUCGUCAGGUAAGAAAGAACCGACGACAUUGACGAUAAUGGAGAUAUAGUACAAAGUCGAAGCUUAAAGGGACUUUGUCCAAAAGCCACUAAGCCUUUCCACUAGGGAUGGUAACUGGCUAAGUUGACAGCGGUGAGAACGAACGGAUUGUCAUUGUUGAUGGUGAUUGUGACGUUUAACAAAUGUUUUCGUCACGUUUUAUCGUUAACAACGUAUACGACUAAUGACGAAUGCUUUUGAGAACGAUUUUAAUUAUGCGAUAAGCUUGAUAGACAAAAGGAGAAACAAUGUAAAGCAAGCGAGUAAAAUGAGAGAGAAAGUGAGAUAGAAAAAUAAGCAAAGGGAGAGAGAGAGAGAGAGAGAGAGAGAGAGAGAGAGAGAGAGAGAGAGAGAGAGUGGAAAAAAGAGGGUAAAUGUAGAAACGAAGAACAAAGUACGCCUUUCUCACGUGAUUAGCCACUUUGUGAAAGGAAAAAAAAAAAAAAAAACGUGAAGUAACGAGAGGUAAGAAAUGGUACGGCUCCGUUGAGAACAUCAACGAGAUCUUUACUAUAUAGAAAGGGUAAGGAAAAAUAAUUAAUCUACCCUUCUCUCAGUUAGUCUGUAAUAGUACGACGACUUUGCCGUAUAUCGUCGCUUUCGUACGUUCGAGAGACCGUGAUAAAGGGUACAAAGAGGUCUCCUUCUCAUUCGACGUCUCGAAGGAGUAAAAGGAACUGAACGGACACGUUAAUUACAUUAUCCUAUGUGAGUCAUAAAGACAGAGUAGAAAGAUCAUACAGGAGUAACUACUUAAGUUUACGAUGGUAUGACGUUGCUCAUGGAAUGUACCUAUUGAAAUUUCGUUUGGAAUAGCAUCAGUUAAGGAUGACAUCGUGAAGAAGAAGACGAAGACGAAGAUGAAAAAGAAGAGGAAGAGGAGGAGAAGGAGGAGGAGGAGGAGGAGGAGAAAUGGUGGAAACGAGUAGGAUAGCUUCGAUGACAAAGGCGAACCACGGGGAUGUACGCAUAGAAGGUUUUGCUGUAACAGCGGCAUAGAAAUCCUCAAUUUCACGGUUCAGUUAUUGAGGAGUGGUGAACACUUCUCCUAUACGUGAAAGCUUACAUUCAAAAAAACUGAUGUUGAAAAACUCUGCGCCGUUCUUCUUUCUACCGUUUGGUUAUUAUCAUUAAGAGCCCAGUAGAAGCAGAAAAUAUUUCUUAUAUACGGGGCGAGUUGCCAAAAUUGAAGGAAGCACUUGAAGAGUGGGGAUGGUUAAAGAUAAAAUACGUAUAUAGAAGAACGAGGAAAUGUGUUACGCAAAAUUUCAAGUUUACGACGACGACGACGACGACGACGACUAUGAAGACCGACGAUGGGACUAAUGGGACUAAUGGGACUAAUGGGAUCGACGAUGAUGACCGAAUGGAAUCGACGAUCGAAGGAACGAAGGAAGGAAAGAUGGAAGGAAG